rnacentral:rRNA from 1 species
UACGGAGGGAGCUAGCGUUGUCCGGAAUUACUGGGCGUAAAGGGCGCGUAGGCGGCUUGGUAAGUCGGGGGUGAAAGUCAGCGGCUCAACCGCUGGACUGCCUUCGAGACUGCCUGGCUUGAGCAUGGUAGAGGCUGGCGGAAUUCCCGGUGUAGCGGUGGAAUGCGUAGAGAUCGGGAAGAACAUCGGUGGCGAAGGCGGCCAGCUGGGCCAUUGCUGACGCUGAUGCGCGACAGCGUGGGGAGCAAACAGG